rnacentral:lncRNA from 1 species
UAAAAUCUAAUUUACUUUUUAAAUUUUAAAUUUUAAAUUUUAAUUUUAUAUUUUGAAUUUUUAUUUUUAAUUUUUAAAAUUUUAUUUUUAAAUUUUGAAUUUUGAAUUUUGAAUUUUGAAUUUUAAAAUUUUAGAAAUUUAAUUGUUAUAAAUACUGUGGAAUUGUAUGAUAUGUAUCCAAACAGCUUAAAAAUGAAGCUGUGAAAUUUUUUUGUAGUUACAUGAUUCCGUAUUUCAUUUAGACCAAAAUCAUAGAAUAAAAAUUUCAUGGAGUUUUUUAACUAUGCAUCCAAACAGGGCCUAGUAUAAUUUUAUUUUAAUUUUACUAUAAGAU